AGUGAACGCUGGCGGUAGGCCUAACACAUGCAAGUCGAACGGCAGCACAGUAAGAGCUUGCUCUUACGGGUGGCGAGUGGCGGACGGGUGAGGAAUACAUCGGAAUCUACUUUUUCGUGGGGGAUAACGUAGGGAAACUUACGCUAAUACCGCAUACGACCUACGGGUGAAAGCAGGGGAUCUUCGGACCUUGCGCGAUUGAAUGAGCCGAUGUCGGAUUAGCUAGUUGGCGGGGUAAAGGCCCACCAAGGCGACGAUCCGUAGCUGGUCUGAGAGGAUGAUCGGCAACACUGGAAAUAGGAACAGGCCCAACCUCCACGGGGAGGAAGAAGGGGGGAAUAUGGGAAAAGGGGCCGAAGCCUGACCCAGCCAUACCGGGUGGGGAAAGAAGGCCUUCGGGUUGUAAAGCCCUUUUGUUGGGAAAAAAAAGCAGCAGGUUAAAACCCCGCUGUUCUGACGGUACCCAAAAAAUAAGCCCCGGCUAACUUCGU
rnacentral:rRNA from 1 species